rnacentral:rRNA from 1 species
GACGAACGCUGGCGGCGUGCUUAACACAUGCAAGUCGAACGGAAAGGCCCCCACCUUGGUGGGGGUGCUCGAGUGGCGAACGGGUGAGUAACACGUGGGUGAUCUGCCCUGUACUUCGGGAUAAGCUUGGGAAACUGGGUCUAAUACCGGAUAGGACCAUGGUUUAGUGUCUCAUGGUGGAAAAAUUAUUGUUUUGGUGCAGGAUGAGCUCGCGGCCUAUCAGCUUGUUGGUGGGGUAAUGGCCUACCAAGGCGUCGACGGGUAGCCGGCCUGAGAGGGUGGACGGCCACAUUGGGGCUGAGAUACGGCCCAGACUCCUACGGGAGGCAGCAGUGGGGAAUAUUGCACAAUGGGCGCAAGCCUGAUGCAGCGACGCCGCGUGGGGGAUGACGGCCUUCGGGUUGUAAACUCCUUUCGUUAGGGACGAAGCCACACCUUUUUUGGGUGUGGUGACGGUACCUUUGUUAAGAAGCACCGGCUAACUACGUG